AUUCACUAAAUCGAUCGUUAACGCACUUGAUUUAAAGCGACAGCGAACGUGCAGGCAUUUUUGAAACAGGUAAAGAUACAGCCCUGAAGGUAGUGUUUGCUUUAGUCUAGAUUUCAGGUGUGUGUCGUUGCUGGAUACAAUUCCCAACACAAAAAGAGUCCAACUAUGUUGACGUUGUUUCACCGACCAAUAGAAAACACGUCGCGUGUGACUACAACGGCUAUACUUCUGUGAUGCUUCAUCGUCUUGCUUCAGCCGUUUCAUCGUUCCAGACACACAUCAGUUACGUUUCUGCUAGGGGAAAACGUACGCCUUUGAUUGUUUGCAGACCUCCAUACUGCAACUGUAUGGGGCGUUUAUUUGUCGGAAAAGGUCAAUUUUAUGCGAACAUUGACCUCGUCUUUUCUUUGGAACAACAGCUACCUAAUUUUGAAGGAAUAAGAGAAAACGAGGCUCGAAUUUUUCGUUCGAAAAUGAAGCGAUUUUCUAUUCAGCUGCAAUGGUUCAAUAAUCCAAUAAAGUUUUAACAAAACACUGAUUGCCGAAUAUGUGCUUAAAAACUCAAGAAGUGGCCAUGGAUGGAACAUUGUUGCAGGAAGCCUCCUUUGGCCGGCUGGUCAAUUUUCAAAGAUAACACAGCAGUUAACUAGGAAAUUUGGGGAACAUGGAUCCACACUGAAUGUAGCUCAAGCGCAACGUUCAGCCAAGUUUGCACUUGUUUGAUGCUCCAUUUUGAUCUACCUUGUUGCAGAUAUUUGUAUUUUUACGUUUAAAUCUUUUCAAUCGCAUUUGUUUGUUUAGACAUUCGUUCCGGGCUAUGGCAAUUGAAUUUUUAAAA